AGUCCAGCAAGGCACUUGCUGGAAUUUCGUGCGGAUUUCGGUUAGAGAAAUGGUAAAGUAUGUUUUUAUUGUAAGUACUGAAUAGAUUCAAAAUUGUUUUCCGAUGAGCUAAAUCUUUUACGAACAAAUCGAAGGAGACGUUUCAUUUGGUUGUUUUCUUCCUUUUCGUUUUCGGCCAUCGUCUUGGAAUCGGUUCGUCAUUAAAAAAAAGAAGAGGAAAGCACAGUAAAUAGGUUCUUGAGAAAACCUCGUUGACGAUUUUACCAGAAAGAAAAAACAGAAGGAAGAUUUUAACGAAGCGGAAGAGGUGACUUCUCAAGUAUCAUUUGAUGAUGUACCGAAUUCCCCUGGUUCUUGUAGACAGUGCUAACGAGUAUUGUGGUAUUUUCCGUGUCUUUCUUGACUGAAGUUUAUUAAAUUAGUAAGUAGAUUUUCAAUUUGUUGCUAAGGUGAUUUUAAAAAGACUUUUCAAGAAACGAUUGAGUUUGUAUAACUUUUAGUUCUGCAAUGAAAGCUGUAUAAUAGGAAAACCAAAGGGAAGUUAAUUCUUCAUAAAAUACAUUUUUACCUGAUUUUCAUAUUUUUAAAAAUUACAGAUAAAACUACUUUAUGUAUAAACAUUUGAAAUACAUUGAUACUGUUACUGGAUAAAAAAAAUUAAUUUGAAUUCAUUCAUAUGUCUUUGUGUCUGUAUCAUAAAAUUUAUUAUAUAAGUGUCUACUGGGACACAUCGUAUUAGUAGGUGUCCGGAUUCUGCGAAUUGAGGAAACUUAUUCAGAAAAAAAUAAUUUUUAAUUGUUCAUCUGUUUAUUUUAUACAGGUUUAUUAUUCGAAAAUAUAAUACCAAAUUUAUGUUGAUCUUUUUAAAUUUCAGUGUAAAUGUCCACUAAAAAAUGUCAUUUUAACCUUAUUAUUAUCGGGAAAAUAUAACAUUUUAUAAAAUCUUAUUUUAGCAAGUAGUGGCAGUAAACCUGCUGACGAGGAACAAGAGGUCCGAAACACAAAGUGUGUACAGCUGAAAAAAGUGAACAAUAAAGAUUGUUUUUUCUGAAUAAGUAUCCUCAAUUUGCAGAUUCCGGACACCAUUAUAACAAGUCCUACUAAUACCAUAUGUCCCAGUAGACACUUAUAUAAUAAAUUAAUUUGAAUUAGUUUCUUUUUCAGGUUUUAAAUCGAACUGCUAUUUUAUGGCGUGAAAUGUCCGAAGAAGAAUUUCUAAAAUUAUUAAAUUUGAUUUUGAAAAUUUUAAAUUUGACUUAGAUAGUAAUGUGUGACGAUAUUGUCGUAUCUGAUUUCAUUCGGGACUUUUAUUGCUUUCAGAUUCACUACCCGCCAAUCAAAAACAUUCCUAUUUACUACUAAAUGAAGAAUAGUUUCUAGAAAAACACAAGAAUAGUCGAUGGAUGUGUUGGACUUCUGUCGUUAACGGAACACUGAAAUUAAAGCCAGUGUUGUGAAAUCAUUACAAGAAUAUAUCAACAA